rnacentral:rRNA from 1 species
CCUACGGGAGGCUGCAGUAGGGAAUCUUCCACAAUGGGCGAAAGCCUGAUGGAGCAACGCCGCGUGUGUGAUGAAGGCUUUCGGGUCGUAAAGCACUGUUGUAUGGGAAGAACAGCUAGAAUAGGAAAUGAUUUUAGUUUGACGGUACCAUACCAGAAAGGGACGGCUAAAUACGUGCCAGCAGCCGCGGUAAUACGUAUGUCCCGAGCGUUAUCCGGAUUUAUUGGGCGUAAAGCGAGCGCAGACGGUUUAUUAAGUCUGAUGUGAAAGCCCGGAGCUCAACUCCGGAAUGGCAUUGGAAACUGGUUAACUUGAGUGCAGUAGAGGUAAGUGGAACUCCAUGUGUAGCGGUGGAAUGCGUAGAUAUAUGGAAGAACACCAGUGGCGAAGGCGGCUUACUGGACUGCAACUGACGUUGAGGCUCGAAAGUGUGGGUAGCAAACAGGAUUAGAUACCCUAGUAGUC